GAUGGUUGGCAUUCGAUCCAAACCCCAAGUCUGACAAUUCCUCCGCUCUCUCUCAUCUGACCUGUGGGGGAAGGGGGAUUGUAACGGCAUCCACACUCUAUGGGCAGUCUCUGGCACCUGAGUGAGAUCUUCAAUAAAAGCACCGGCAUCAUUUCCAAUUCUCACAUAGCUCAGGUUGCCUCCGCAGCCCCAACAAAGGGGUCUACUACAGUUGGAUGAACCUUCGCGGACCAGCUCAGCUGUGCGGGUUGCCAAGUGGCUCUGCGUUCGCCAUCUCUUUCCUUCUCCCGCCGACUCCCCCCAUAUUAUAUACCCUAGUCCCAUGCACACUCACACUUAUUCUCUUUCAACCCCACGGGGGUUGAAUCCUGUUCUGCCAGUUCCGCUAGUAUAUCACCAGCUAGUCCUCUUGCUAUUCUUAGGGUUUUGUGUUUCUCCGUUACGAACUCAACAUCCACUCACGGCUUCGUGGGUUGAGAAGUCGAGGAGCGUUCGGGAGGAUUCGAGUGCGAGGAGAGGUGAUUGGAAGCCGUGGUGAUGAAUCUCCGACGUUGAGUUCGAUGAGGUGGGAGUAGGGUGGGGUGAUUGUGGAGCCCAAUUCUGCAGAUCACCGUGAGUCGUCGUCGUCGUCGUCGAUCCGGUUUGUGAUGAUUCUCUUGGAGGGAGUGCUCGCCUUCUUCCGCCGGUGUUUCGUCGCUCCACCAUUUUAUUAUUCAUGUAUGGGUUCUUCCUCAAUUCUGCUACUAUGGGGGAAAAAAUUCUGUAAUCAGGGAUUUUAGAGUUGGAGUUUUUGAGUUCUUGACUUUCGAAAUCAGGGUUUGAAAGUUUUGCAUGAAAAUCUCUUUUUAUUAGAAUUACAAAAUGUAAACUCUAUGAUUUUAAAUUUUAUUGAUUAUUGAUUAUUGAUUUA